GAUGAACGCUGGCGGCGUGCCUAAUACAUGCAAGUCGAGCGAACGGACGAGAAGCUUGCUUCUCUGAUGUUAGCGGCGGACGGGUGAGUAACACGUGGAUAACCUACCUAUAAGACUGGGAUAACUUCGGGAAACCGGAGCUAAUACCGGAUAAUAUUUUGAACCGCAUGGUUCAAAAGUGAAAGACGGUCUUGCUGUCACUUAUAGAUGGAUCCGCGCUGCAUUAGCUAGUUGGUAAGGUAACGGCUUACCAAGGCAACGAUGCAUAGCCGACCUGAGAGGGUGAUCGGCUACACUGGAACUGAGACACGGUCCAGACUCCUACGGGAGGCAGCAGUAGGGAAUCUUCCGCAAUGGGCGAAAGCCUGACGGAGCAACGCCGCGUGAGUGAUGAAGGUCUUCGGAUCGUAAAACUCUGUUAUUAGGGAAGAACAUAUGUGUAAGUAACUGUGCACAUCUUGACGGUACCUAAUCAGAAAGCCACGGCUAACUACGUG
rnacentral:rRNA from 1 species